rnacentral:rRNA from 1 species
AGUGAACGCUGGCGGUAGGCCUAACACAUGCAAGUCGAACGGCAGCACAGUAAGAGCUUGCUCUUACGGGUGGCGAGUGGCGGACGGGUGAGGAAUACAUCGGAAUCUACUUUUUCGUGGGGGAUAACGUAGGGAAACUUCCGCUAAUACCGCAUACGACCUACGGGUGAAAGCAGGGGAUCUUCGGACCUUGCGCGAAUGAAUGAGCCGAUGUCGGAUUAGCUAGUUGGCGGGGUAAAGGCCUACCAAGGCGACGAUCCGUAGCUCGUCUGAGAGGAUGAUCAGCCACACUGGAACUGAGACACGGUCCAGACUCCUACGGGAGGCAGCAGUCGGGAAUAUUGGACAAUGGGCGCAAGCCUGAUCCAGCCAUACCGCGUGGGUGAAGAAGGCCUUCGGGUUGUAAAGCCAUUUUGUUGUGAAAGAAAAGCAGCAGGUUUAUACCCCGCUGUUCUGACGGUACCCAAAGAAUAAGCACCGGCUAACUUCGUG